UACGGAGGGGGCAAGCGUUGUUCGGAAUUACUGGGCGUAAAGGGCGCGCAGGCGGCUGCUCAAGUCAGGCGUGAAAGGCCUGGGCUCAACCCGGGAAUUGCGCUUGAGACUGGGCUGGCUUGAGUGCGGGAGAGGAUGGUGGAAUUCCCAGUGUAGAGGUGAAAUUCGUAGAUAUUGGGAAGAACACCAACGGCGAAGGCAGCUCGCUAGGACGGUACUGACGCUGAGACGGCGAAAAGCGUGGGGAGCGAACAGG
rnacentral:rRNA from 1 species